GCGGAUGUAGUUCAAUGGUAGAACAUCAGCUUCCCAAGCUGAACACGCGGGUUCGAUUCCCGUCAUCCGCUCCA
rnacentral:tRNA from 1 species